rnacentral:misc_RNA from 1 species
UGGCAUGAUCCAGUCCCCAUACAAUUCAGCAACUAGGGAUGGUUUGAUUUUGUACACGGGAUCUCCUACAUGUUCCGGUCCAUUGUUCAGUUCCUGUCCAUAAGUUUUCGUUUUCAUUUCUACUCUAUUUUUUAUAGCCUCUUCAACUGUAGGGUAGGUUAGUAAAUCCAUCAAACCGUCUCGGUCCUGUGCUUUUAUAGCAGCCUUAUAGACAUCUGGUGAAGCUCGAAAUUUUGCUUCGGCAACAAAUUUUCCGUAAUGAAUUCUCUUUGACAAGGCCUGCAAGCAAAUGGUAUCACAUACUGCUGUAGAUCCAG